UAGGGAAUCUUCGGCAAUGGACGGAAGUCUGACCGAGCAACGCCGCGUGAGUGAAGAAGGUUUUCGGAUCGUAAAGCUCUGUUGUAAGAGAAGAACGAGUGUGAGAGUGGAAAGUUCACACUGUGACGGUAUCUUACCAGAAAGGGACGGCUAACUACGUGCCAGCAGCCGCGGUAAUACGUAGGUCCCGAGCGUUGUCCGGAUUUAUUGGGCGUAAAGCGAGCGCAGGCGGUUAGAUAAGUCUGAAGUUAAAGGCUGUGGCUUAACCAUAGUAGGCUUUGGAAACUGUUUAACUUGAGUGCAAGAGGGGAGAGUGGAAUUCCAUGUGUAGCGGUGAAAUGCGUAGAUAUAUGGAGGAACACCGGUGGCGAAAGCGGCUCUCUGGCUUGUAACUGACGCUGAGGCUCGAAAGCGUGGGGAGCAAACAGGAUUAGAUACCCUGGUGGUCCACGCUGUAAACGAUGAGUGCUAGGUGUUAGACCCUUUCCGGGGUUUAGUGCCGUAGCUAACGCAUUAAGCACUCCGCCUGGGGAGUACGACCGCAAGGUUG
rnacentral:rRNA from 1 species